rnacentral:rRNA from 1 species
AUGUAAAUUCCUACAACAUUAAUGCACUAGAUACCAUUAUAACUCUGCAUUUAAGCACACUUGGGAUAGAGUAGUACUAGGAUGGGUGACCUCCCAGGAAGUCUUAGUGUUUUACAUG